rnacentral:rRNA from 1 species
AUUGAACGCUGGCGGCGGGCCUAACACAUGCAAGUCGAGCGGAUGAAGGGAGCUUGCUCCUGGAUUCAGCGGCGGACGGGUGAGUAAUGCCUAGGAAUCUGCCUGGUAGUGGGGGAUAACGUCCGGAAACGGGCGCUAAUACCGCAUACGUCCUGAGGGAGAAAGUGGGGGAUCUUCGGACCUCACGCUAUCAGAUGAGCCUAGGUCGGAUUAGCUAGUUGGUGGGGUAAAGGCCUACCAAGGCGACGAUCCGUAACUGGUCUGAGAGGAUGAUCAGUCACACUGGAACUGAGACACGGUCCAGACUCCUACGGGAGGCAGCAGUGGGGAAUAUUGGACAAUGGGCGAAAGCCUGAUCCAGCCAUGCCGCGUGUGUGAAGAAGGUCUUCGGAUUGUAAAGCACUUUAAGUUGGGAGGAAGGGCAGUAAGUUAAUACCUUGCUGUUUUGACGUUACCAACAGAAUAAGCACCGGCUAACUUCGCG